UCAUCAUGCCCCUUAUGACCUGGGCCACGACACGUGCUACAAUGGUUGGUACAACGAGUUGCGAGUCGGUGACGGCGGAGCUAAUCUCUUAAAGCCAAUCUCAGUUCGGAUUGUAGGCUGCAACUCGCCUACAUGAAGUCGGAAUCGCUAGUAAUCGCGGAUCAGCACGCCGCGGUGAAUACGUUCCCGGGCCUU
rnacentral:rRNA from 1 species